GGUAGAGGAGCGUUCUGUAAGCCUGUGAAGGUGAGUUGAGAAGCUUGCUGGAGGUAUCAGAAGUGCGAAUGCUGACAUGAGUAACGACAAUGGGUGUGAAAAACACCCACGCCGAAAGACCAAGGGUUCCUGCGCAACGUUAAUCGACGCAGGGUUAGUCGGUUCCUAAGGCGAGGCUGAAAAGCGUAGUCGAUGGGAAACAGGUUAAUAUUCCUGUACUUCUGGUUACUGCGAUGGAGGGACGGAGAAGGCUAGGCCAGCUUGGCGUUGGUUGUCCAAGUUUAAGGUGGUAGGCUGAAAUCUUAGGUAAAUCCGGGGUUUCAAGGCCGAGAGCUGAUGACGAGUCGUCUUUUAGAUGACGAAGUGGUUGAUGCCAUGCUUCCAAGAAAAGCUUCUAAGCUUCAGGUAACCAGGAACCGUACCCCAAACCGACACAGGUGGUCGGGUAGAGAAUACCAAGGCGCUUGAGAGAACUCGGGUGAAGGAACUAGGCAAAAUGGCACCGUAACUUCGGGAGAAGGUGCGCCGGCUAGGGUGAAGGAUUUACUCCGUAAGCUCUGGCUGGUCGAAGAUACCAGGCCGCUGCGACUGUUUAUUAAAAACACAGCACUCUGCAAACACGAAAGUGGACGUAUAGGGUGUGACGCCUGCCCGGUGCCGGAAGGUUAAUUGAUGGGGUUAGCGCAAGCGAAGCUCUUGAUCGAAGCCCCGGUAAACGGCGGCCGUAACUAUAACGGUCCUAAGGUAGCGAAAUUCCUUGUCGGGUAAGUUCCGACCUGCACGAAUGGCGUAACGAUGGCGGCGCUGUCUCCACCCGAGACUCAGUGAAAUUGAAAUCGCUGUGAAGAUGCAGUGUAUCCGCGGCUAGACGGAAAGACCCCGUGAACCUUUACUGUAGCUUUGCACUGGACUUUGAGCCUGCUUGUGUAGGAUAGGUGGGAGGCUUUGAAGCGUGGACGCCAGUUCGCGUGGAGCCAUCCUUGAAAUACCACCCUGGCAUGCUUGAGGUUCUAACUCUGGUCCGUAAUCCGGAUCGAGGACAGUGUAUGG
rnacentral:rRNA from 1 species